CCCUUAGAUGUUCUGGGCCGCACGCGCGCUACACUGAUGAACGCAACGAGACCACCUGUACCGAAAGGCAUGGGUAAACUUGUGAAAGUUCAUCGUGAUGGGGAUAGAUUAUUGCAAUUAUUAAUCUUCAACGAGGAAUUCCUAGUAAGCGCGAGUCAUCAGCUCGCGUUGAUUACGUCCCUGCCCUUUGUACACACCGCCCGUCGCUACUACCGAUUGAACGUUUUAGUGAGGUAUUUGGACUGGACCUUCGGAGGUUCGCGCCUCCGUUGCUGUUCGGGAAGACUCCCAAACUUGAGCGUUUAGAGGAAGUAAAAGUCGUAACA
rnacentral:rRNA from 1 species